GACGAACGCUGGCGGCAGGCCUAACACAUGCAAGUCGAGCGAGCGGCGGACGGGUGAGUAAUGUCCGGGAACCUGCCUGAUGGAGGGGGAUAACUACUGGAAACGGUAGCUAAUACCGCAUACCAUCAGAUGUGCCCAGAUGGGAUUAGCCAGUGGGUGGGGUAACGGCUCACCUAGGCGACGAUCCCUAGCUGGUCUGAGAGGAUGACCAGAAACACUGGAACUGAGACACGGUCCAGAUUCCUACGGGAGGCAGCAGUGGGGAAUAUUGCACCAGGGGCGCAAGCCGGAUGCGGCCAUGCCGGGUGUGUGAAGAGGGCCUUCGGGUUGUAAAGCACUUUGAGCAGGGAGGCGUUACCCGCAGAAGAAGCACCGGCUAACUCCGUGCCAGCAGCCGCGGUAAUUC
rnacentral:rRNA from 1 species